GACGAACGCUGGCGGCGUGCUUAACACAUGCGAGUCGAACGGAAAGGCCCUGCUUUUGUGGGGUGCUCAAGUGGCGAACGGGUGAGUAACACGUGAGUAACCUGCCCUUGACUUUGGGAUAACUUCAGGAAACUGGGGCUAAUACCGGAUAGGAGCUCCUGCUGCAUGGUGGGGGUUGGAAAGUUUCGGCGGUUGGGGAUGGACUCGCGGCUUAUCAGCUUGUUGGUGGGGUAGUGGCUUACCAAGGCUUUGACGGGUAGCCGGCCUGAGAGGGUGACCGGCCACAUUGGGACUGAGAUACGGCCCAGACUCCUACGGGAGGCAGCAGUGGGGAAUAUUGCACAAUGGGCGGAAGCCUGAUGCAGCAACGCCGCGUGCGGGAUGACGGCCUUCGGGUUGUAAACCGCUUUCGCCUGUGACGAAGCGUGAGUGACGGUAAUGGGUAAAGAAGCACCGGCUAACUACGU
rnacentral:rRNA from 1 species